rnacentral:rRNA from 1 species
CCCUUAGAUGCUCUGGGCCGCACGCGCGCUACACUGGUCGAUGCAACGAGUUUCUUUCCUUGGCCGACAGGCCUGGGCAAUCUUUGAACACCGAUCGUGAUCGGGAUAGAUUCUUGUAAUUUUUGAUCUUAAACGAGGAAUUCCUAGUAAACGCAAGUCAUCAGCUUGCAUUGAUUACGUCCCUGCCCUUUGUACACACCGCCCGUCGCACCUACCGAUUGAAUGGUCCGGUGAAAUCUCCGGACUGGCGUGAGUCGGAGCAAUCUGACAAACGCCGGAAAGUUGAUUAAACCUUACCAUUUAGAGGAAGGUGAAGUCGUANCA